rnacentral:rRNA from 1 species
GACGAACCGUGCGAACGUUGUUCGGAAUCACUGGGCUUAAAGGGCGCGUAGGCGGUCUGCCAAGUCGGGGGUGAAAUCUUUCGGCUCAACCGGAAAACUGCCUUCGAUACUGGCAGGCUAGAGGGAGGUAGGGGUUGCGGGAACUACCAGUGGAGCGGUGAAAUGCGUUGAUAUUGGUAGGAACGCCGGUGGCGAAAGCGGCGUGCUGGAUCUCUUCUGACGCUGAGGCGCGAAAGCCAGGGGAGCAAACGGG